GGAGUUGUGGCUCAGUGGUAGAGUGCUUGCCUAGCAUGCGUGAGGCCCUGGGUUCAAUCCCCAGCACCA
rnacentral:tRNA from 1 species